rnacentral:rRNA from 1 species
AUUGAACGCUGGCGGCAGGCCUAACACAUGCAAGUCGAGCGGAUGAAGGGAGCUUGCUCCUGGAUUCAGCGGCGGACGGGUGAGUAAUGCCUAGGAAUCUGCCUGGUAGUGGGGGAUAACGUCCGGAAACGGGCGCUAAUACCGCAUACGUCCUGAGGGAGAAAGUGGGGGAUCUUCGGACCUCACGCUAUCAGAUGAGCCUAGGUCGGAUUAGCUAGUUGGUGGGGUAAAGACCUACCAAGGCGACGAUCCGUAACUGGUCUGAGAGGUUGAUCAGCCACACUGGAACUGAGACACGGUCCAGACUCCUACGGGAGGCAGCAGUGGGGAAUAUUGGACAAUGGGCGAAAGCCUGAUCCAGCCAUGCCGCGUGUGUGAAGAAGGUCUUCGGAUUGUAAAGCACUUUAAGUUGGGAGGAAGGGCAGGAAGUUAAUACCUUGCUGUUUUGACGUUACCAACAGAAUAAGCACCGGCUAACUUCGU